AUUCAUCAAUCUUUUUGUUUUAUAUCAGACAGUUGCUGUUAUACCUGUUCUUCCUCAUGGCGUUGUUCAGCUAGGUUCAUUCUUUGCCGUAAGUUUUUCCUUUCCUUAACUUUUGGAGGCUAAAAUAAUCUUAAAUACUUGCAAAUACAUUGUGUUCACGAUGAAAAUCAUGAUGGUCAAGGUAUCUUUUGUUGGAAGUCGUCAACUUUCUGUGUUUCAAUCUAUUUCCCAAAUUUAGCUAUUAAAUUUUUGUAGUGAAUUCAGGAAAGAUAUUCUUUCACUUGAUUAAUGCUGUUGGAGUUCAAUGUAGUGCACUAGUGCGAAACUCUUAGGCUGCAAUUCUUAUUUCAGUAUUUGUGGAUCAAUGUCUUCAAUCUGUGAUGAGGAAAAGAAACGAGGUAUCCGCGUAAUGAUGUCAAUUCAGUAGACGUCCUACACCAAGCUCAACUGGCUGUUACGGGUCAUAGGAAGUCUGUGUUAUGAAUCAAGUCAUAUUUCCUUCUUGCGAGAGCAAUAACAUAUAGAAUGUAAUCAGAUUACAAGCGAAGCUAAUACACAGAUUUUUUAAUGAAAAUCGUUGGUCCACCCUCAAUGUGAGAGCUAUUCCCAUUUGCCUCUAUUGCUUUUACUGUAAUGGAGAAGAAUACAGGGUCUCACGCCUUUCACACUGAAAACUGCCCCCCCCCCCAACAAAGACAAAAUAAUAAUAAUAAAAUAAAAUAAAUAAAUACUAAUAUAUAUAGAAGUACAAUUGCAAUCUGAUAUGCCCAAUACAUCUCAGUAAUGAAAAUGUUCAGAGUUGAAAGGAUAAGUGUACAAUAUUAUUAGGCUUCACAGAGUGCAGUCUGAUACUCGGAAAAGUUUUUUGGUUUUCCAGUAGUUAUUCUAACAUUUUUUUUAUUUAUAAUUCUUGCAAUCUUGGUGCUGUAGCUGGUUCUCAAUGAGUUAAUGUAGAUUUUGUUGCUAUUCAGAUAGCGGAGAAUAUGAGAUUUGUAAAUGAUGUGAAGACUUUAGUUCUUCAGCUUAGACAUGAACCUGGUCUCUUGCUACCUGAUAAUUAUGCAGCAAAAGAACUUUCUCCAAAAAUAGGGGUACCUGUGUUUCUUGGGAAUUCUACUUCUGGAGACCUAUCUGGCGUAUCGAAUAUGACCAACUCUAUUCCAUUCAUUGCUGAGAGUUACAACUAUGUGGAAAACUCUGAUCAGACUACCGAGUUUGUUGGUGACACAUCUCAUUCUUUAGCAAGACAUAUCCAGGAUAAUUUGCAGUUUAAUGGUGCUACAUUUCAUACCUCUAGCUCGAGCCAAAGCCACGUUCAGCUUGAUGAUGAUCUCAAGGAAGCGAAGUUUGCUACGAGAAUGAAGACAAACUCUACUUUGGAAAAUGAAGUAGUGACAAAAGCUGAAGUUAUAUUGAAUCUGGAGAUGCUGAUGAACCAACAGGCAUAUCUGCACAUCCCAGGAUCUGCUUUGCAUCAACUAUCCUCCAGCAGUUCAUCUACUAUCGACAGUGGCAGCUCAAGGUGGGUGGAAAAGGGAAUGUCAAAUGCUGGUACUCAGUGCCAUUUUGGCAGCGCCAAUAUGUCAUCUGGCCUGUUGACGUCUGUGCCGAGAAUAAAUUCAGACCUGAUAUCUAGUUCUCAUGAAAAUCCUGUUGACCAUUUAACGUCCAAUCACUUGCUUGUAUAUGACUCAGGUAGCAGACAUUAUUGUACAGAUGACAGAAACGGGAAACGCGAGUUGAAUGUGUGCAAUGAAAGAAUGGAAAACAAUAUAAUUCAAGCUCGUGGUAUCCCCCUGUCCAAACAUGAUGAGCAUAAGAAUUCAGUUGAGUUUCUACCUGAUUUCGUUCUAGCUGACAGAAAGUAUGAACUUGAAGGUUGGAGUCAAUCUUUUAGAAAUACUGAAUAUCGAGAUGCAUGUAUAGGACCUCAACCAGGAGAUGAUUUGUUUGAUAUUUUGGGAAUUGAAUUUAAGAACAAACUAUUCAACAGUCACUGGAAUAAUAGUUUGAAAAAUGCAUCAUACUCGAACAUGGUUAAUCUGGAUAAAAAAAAUUCUCCAUCUGUAAAAGCUCAGGACACUGCUUCCGAAAUAUAUUCUCUUAACUGUGGAAACUCCAAUGGCAGUGAACAUCUGUUAGACGCUGUGGUCUCUGAGGUUCAUUCUUCUGCUAAGCAGCGCUCAGAUGAUAAUGUUUCUUGCAGGACAACAAUGACAAAUAACAGUAGCCACUGCAGACCUAAUGUUGAACUCCCCUACAGCCAGGCUCAGGUUCUUGAUCAAAUUAAGGAAGAGUUAUUUGGUGUUCCAGAAUAUCUGGCAGAAGCAGAAGCAAUGAGUUGUUCAUUUUUAUCUGGAUCUUCUAAGGAUUAUUCGAGCACCUAUUCCCUGAAUAGUUCCAUUUAUGGAUCACAAAUAAGUUCAUCAGUUGUAAAGGGUCAGGACAUCAAACAGAGUAGCUGUGCAUCUACAGGAUACUCUAAGAAGCCUGAUGAAAUGUGCAAAACAAAUCGCAAGAGGCUUAAACCAGGAGAAAAUCAUAGGCCAAGGCCGAAGGAUCGCCAGAUGAUCCAAGAUCGUGUAAAGGAAUUAAGGGAAAUUGUGCCAAAUGGGGCAAAGGUGACAUUUCUUGUCUUUGGCUCAAACUAUUUCC
rnacentral:lncRNA from 1 species